rnacentral:rRNA from 1 species
CCUACGGGGUGCACCAGUAGGGAAUCUUCGGCAAUGGACGAAAGUCUGACCGAGCAACGCCGCGUGAGUGAAGAAGGUUUUCGGAUCGUAAAACUCUGUUGUUAGAGAAGAACAAGUAGGAGAGUAGCUGCUCUUACCUUGACGGUAUCUAACCAGAAAGCCACGGCUAACUACGUGCCAGCAGCCGCGGUAAUACGUAGGUGGCAAGCGUUGUCCGGAUUUAUCGGGCGUAAAGCGAGCGCAGGCGGUCUUUUAAGUCUGAUGUGAAAGCCCUCGGCUCAACCGAGGAAGGUCAUUGGAAACUGGAGGACUUGAGUGCAGAAGAGGAGAGCGGAAUUCCACGUGUAGCGGUGAAAUGCGUAGAUAUGUGGAGGAACACCAGUGGCGAAGGCGGCUCUCUGGUCUGUAACUGACGCUGAGGCGCGAAAGCGUGGGGAGCAAACAGGAUUAGAUACCCGCGUAGUC